AGCUGGAAAAGGCAGAAACGGGGGAUGCUGAAGCACAGCUCACUUCUCCUCACUGCUCCCGGACAGCUCUCUGACUGCUGCUGCUGCGCUUCGUACAGCCGCACGCCAGGACCCCCUCGCCAGCUCCCCGAUGCGGGUCCUGCCUUUGGGUCUGCAUAGCCAUGGCACAGACUGAAGCCUCCUUCACGGAUGAUUAAACUUUGUAUUUUCUGUUGUUGUGGAAAAGCAUUGAGAGGCACAAGCAGAGAGCGCUGAAUGGUUCUACAACUUUGCAGUGCUUCCUGCUGUGUCCUGGACCGCUGCCAGCUGUCCUGAUGUCAACCGGCAAAGGACAAAACCAGCCCAGCAAUAAAGAAACUCGCCAAGAAGCAAUGCUUUGCAGCCUCGGCAGACAGCGCAUCCUCCCUUUCUUCAGAAUGCCAGCAAAGAUGUCCUCUGCAGGUAGAGUUCUCCAUACUGGAAAUAUUAGAAUUCAGUCAUUUAGUUAACUUUCUAUUAUUGGGCAUAAAAUAAGAAAACCAAAAUAAACUGUUUUUUGACAGUCCUUCCAACCAACAUCUCUGGUUGCAAUGCUUGGCAGAAUUUUUAUGUUUAGAGAUUGAUAUACUGGUGAGUAGUUAAUUGACCUAAUUUUCUUAAACUGCCCCUUCCCAAAUAAAAGCUCUUGGGGGCACUGUUUCAUUAUGAAAAGAAAGGAGAAAAGCUGAGAAAAAGAUGCUUCUGUUCUCAGAAUUU